rnacentral:rRNA from 1 species
UACAGAGGGUGCAAGCGUUAAUCGGAAUUACUGGGCGUAAAGCGUGCGCAGGCGGUUUUGUAAGCCAGAUGUGAAAUCCCCGGGCUUAACCUGGGAAUGGCAUUUGGGACUGCAAGGCUUGAGUGCGGCAGAGGAGACUGGAAUUCCUGGUGUAGCAGUGAAAUGCGCAGAUAUCAGGAGGAACACCGAUGGCGAAGGCAGGUCUCUGGGCCACUACUGACGCUGAGAAGCGAAAGCAUGGGGAGCGAACAGG